AAUGCACCAAUUUGUAAGUCGCUCUGGAUAAGAGCGUCUGCUAAAUGACGUAGA
rfam:Salmo salar isolate Sally breed double haploid chromosome ssa14, whole genome shotgun sequence.